rnacentral:lncRNA from 1 species
CUACAGCCUUGGAUCAGCAGGACUUGCCCUUUCAAGUGGGCAAGCUUUCCAGCUCUGCUUGUCAGCAGUAGGCAGGUCAGCUCUUCUACUCUCAUGACCCCAGGGCCAGCUCUCCCAACUGCUGCACGUGGUAAAGGGCAAUGGGGGGGGGCAUCAUACCCACACCAAUGUCACCUCACAGCAGAGGAGUGGCAGGGCCAGCUCUUCCAUGCUCUCACCCUUGGGGCUGACUCACCUGCACCCCCUUGACUUUGACCAGGCCUACUGUGCUGUGAUCCCUGCUGCUGCAUAGACCCAGAGACCCAGACAUGGUCCUCAGCAGCAGCUCAGGCUGGGACUUUAUCCGUGGCUCCAGGUGAUGGAGCUGGCCACCCACAACAGGCUUCUCCUUUCCACCCUCGAGUCUCCAGUUCCAUCUCUCUUCAUAAUGCUCAAGCAUAAACCCGUGGUGUUUGGCUGACAGCAGCGAGCAAUGAAGUACUGCAGCUGAGAGUAUCUGGGAAGGUUGAUGCUGAGAUUGCUGGGACCUUGGAGACACAACUCUGCACAGAAUUGACAUUGGGAGCCCCUUAAUGAGUUUCUGCUUCUGAGAAGGGCGCUCGACAGCGAGCCGUUGCCCGGGCCUGGUGCCCAGUAUGUGAAGUUCCGAGACAGCUCGUCUAGGACGGCCGAGGCGUCGUCCUCGGGGGCUGUGCGCGCCGGAGCCGCCAUGAGGACUGAAUCCACGCGCUGGGACUCGGGCGCGGCCCUCCCGUCCGUCCUCCCGCAGCCGCAGCCACUUCCUGCCCGGCGACCCGGCGCCGGCACCUGGCUCCUGCGGCACGCAGGUGAGGUCCGGGCUCGGCCCAGUUGCCGCCGCUCCCUUCUGGGCCCCGGUGCCUACACCUGUCAGCGCAGGAAUGACAUCAUC